AGAGUGAACGCUGGCGGUAGGCCUAACACAUGCAAGUCGAACGGCAGCACAGUGGUAGCAAUACCAUGGGUGGCGAGUGGCGGACGGGUGAGGAAUACAUCGGAAUCUACCUUUUCGUGGGGGAUAACGUAGGGAAACUUACGCUAAUACCGCAUACGCCCUUCGGGGGAAAGCCGGGGAUCGCAAGACCUGGCGCGGAUAGAUGAGCCGAUGUCGGAUUAGCUAGUUGGUGAGGUAAUGGCUCACCAAGGCGACGAUCCGUAGCUGGUCUGAGAGGAUGAUCAGCCACACUGGAACUGAGACACGGGUCCAGACU
rnacentral:rRNA from 1 species